rnacentral:tRNA from 1 species
GAUCCUAUAGCUCAGUUGGUAGAGCGCCCCGUUGUCUGCGGGACUGUCGUCGGUUCGAACCCGUCUAGGAUCGCCA